AAGGGAGCCCCCUUGUCGCGGUCCUCCGCCACCUCGCGGAUCGGCCCCUUCGCAGCUUCGGCCAUGGUGGCAGCAAUACCUUGGCCCCUCGGGAGAAACUGCUCGAUGGGGCCCUCUCGAUGGACGCUGAUCACCGGGGUAGGCGCCCGCGCGGCCACAUCUUCGACGAGCCAUGAUGUUUGAGGAAUUGAGUAUGUGUUUGUGAUAUUGCCUAUGCCGGUGAGCUUACUCAGCCCGGCAUGACAACCACGACCAGACACAUAGUCAAGUACCUCGCUGGCAAGGCCAAGGCGUACGUGAAUGAGUCACACCGACGCUUCUGCGGCGCACAUCAUGGUGUUCAGCCACCUCAGGCCAGGGGACCUUGAACAAUGGUAUUUCUGUGCUGAGAGGACACUGCACCAAGUUUAGGUAACCAGUUUAGCGUCAUACUCCUCAAGGAUCUUUUGGUGGUAUGGUGCCGACGACGGCAUGGCUCUGUUAAGUUAUUUAGGUAACCAGUUAGGCUUUUCUUCUGAAUUUCCUUUUCAGAAGGGCAUGUUUGGAGUUCGGACACAAGGGUAAAAGUAUUGCUUUUGCGUCCCAGAAAUAUUGAUCUAUUUGCCUUGACGAGAGGAUGUCACGGGGCAGAUCCUUCAAUUUGUGCGUCUGCCAUCUAUCUUUGGACAGUUCCUGAUGUGACACAAGCACUACAGAACACUGAAUCUACAUUUCUUGAAUUACGAUGGUAUCAUGACAAAUGAGACUGAGUGAUCGCCACCAAAGACAACAUUCGCUGAUGAGGUCAUGUUUUUAUAUGAGAAAAAGCCUUGAGAGCUGCUGAGAGAGGCCCUGUCGUGAAUUGCUGACCGGCUGUUGAGCAUGACUCUGAAAAAUCUUCAGAGAUUGUUAGUGGGACUGUUAUUUUCAUGGAGUAAAAUGACAAAAUACAUUAAGGCCAUGGUGCCCAUGGAGUUCUCUUCACCUACGACUAGAUCUAUUACAAGCAAUGUAGGUAAUUUGGUGUGCAAAUUAGUCAUCACCCUUGAUACCUUUUUUACCAACUCAUAGCAUUUUGUAUAUAUUUUAUUAUGUACAUCCUGCAUAGAUAUCGAGCACAGCAGAGAUCCUUAGAACCAUUACAACAGAAUUGUUCAUUCCACACUUUCAUUGCUUAUGAAAACUAAUGGUGCAAACCAUGUUAUUGUUGCUUCUUCCUAUGAUAAAUUUUGGUCACAAGGAUACUUGUAUAUUUACCUCGAAUCUGUGAUAGAUGAUUGAUGUAAGCUGCCACUGGAGUAGGAAUGCAAUAAAAGGUCCAGAAUUAUGUUCUUCUUAAUACUUCUGAUGUUCACUCAUGAUUUAAUGUUUCUCUCUUGAGACGACAAACCACUUUUGUGGAAAAGAAACUCCAUUCGUUGCUAAGGACCAAAUCAUACAUAUCAGAUCCAUUUACUCGCUGGAAAGAAAUGGACAAGGGGAUCAGUUUACACGUAAUAGGAAGUACUUGUGCUAGGAAGUAGUACGUGAUCUAAAUCUCCGAUUGCCAGGAUAGCUAUUAGUAAAAAAAAGGUUAUUGCUGACAAAGAAAAUUGCAUGUGCCUAUAUGUUUUUAGCUCAAAAUCAUACUUGAGAUAAAUUGAUGUUGCUGUCUGAUUUAGCAUAUCCUGUAUCAGACAAUGCCUUUUGCUUUGAUUGCGCUUUUUUGGAAGUGGUUACACAUUCAAAGAUUUGUUCACUAUAGAUAUUAUUUGUUUAAAUGUAGUUUUAUAAGUUUAUAUACCAAGAACUGAAUUUACCUUACCGAGCCAAGGCACUGACUUCUCAUAUGCAUAUAUGUGUGCCAUAGAUGUCAGGUAACACCCGUGAGUGAAUUCAUCUCAUCCUCAAUGCCUUCUAUUCUCUACCAAGAGGUGGAAUGCAGUUGAGGUCGAAGAAUGCCGUUGGAGAGACCAGAGGUUGCCGUGGUGGUGCUUGCCGGAGAUCAUGGCGAGAUGCUCUGCUGGGAGAGGAGACCUCGCCGGCGAGGUUGGGGACGAGCUGCUGGUUAAAGAUCAUGUAAUGAUUUUGUAAUUUAGAUGCUACUUGCAAAUGUUGGUUCCAUAUCCUAUAAUUUAGAUGCCUGGCUACAAUUUUAAUGCAUGAUCAGGUUACUGUGUUUGAUUAAAAUACCAGGCAAUAUGAUAAGUGCAUAUAUUUGUGCAAGUACUAUGAUUAUUGCUUUGUUUUGAAUAGUGCAUGUAAACAUAAUCAAAGGCAUUGUUGAAAACAGCCUUCAAAUGUAAUAUAAGGCAUCAUUGAAAAGUGUA